rnacentral:rRNA from 1 species
GAUGAACGCUGGCGGCGUGCCUAAUACAUGCAAGUCGAGCGAACAGAUGAGGAGCUUGCUCCUCUGACGUUAGCGGCGGACGGGUGAGUAACACGUGGAUAACCUACCUAUAAGACUGGGAUAACUUCGGGAAACCGGAGCUAAUACCGGAUAAUAUAUUGAACCGCAUGGUUCAAUAGUGAAAGACGGUUUUGCUGUCACUUAUAGAUGGAUCCGCGCCGCAUUAGCUAGUUGGUAAGGUAACGGCUUACCAAGGCAACGAUGCGUAGCCGACCUGAGAGGGUGAUCGGCCACACUGGAACUGAGACACGGUCCAGACUCCUACGGGGGGCAGCAGUAGGGAAUCUUCCGCGAUGGGCGAAAGCCUGACGGAGCAACGCCGCGUGAGUGAUGAAGGUCUUCGGAUCGUAAAACUCUGUUAUUAGGGAAGAACAAAUGUGUAAGUAACUAUGCACGUCUUGACGGUACCUAAUCAGAAAGCCACGGCUAACUACGUG